AUGGGGGAGCCGAGAAGUGGUGAGGAACGAUCUGCGCACUGAUGGCCUUUAGUUUAAGACGUGAAGUGGCGCUAAAGGUGGAGGGUGCCUGGAGCGGAGUCUGAGUCAGGGACCUUGGAACUUGCCAAAGAACUCGAUCUUUAAAUAAACUGGUGCACUGUU